rfam:Devosia sp. Root413D1 contig_2, whole genome shotgun sequence.
GGGCGGUACCGGGCCCCUCUGACGGCAGCACUUCUACGCUCCGUGAUGUCGGAACUGCUCC